GUCAAAGAUUAGAUACUAUAAAGAUGUGUCACUCUGCGAAAAUUAUGUCCGAGAUUUUUUUAUAGCCGCCAUUUUGCCAGUAAGUGUCAAAUUCAACGCCAUCAGUCUCUUAAAUAGUAAAAUCCAACGCCAUCAGUCUCGCCGCCAUUUUGGCAGUAAGUGAAAAUUACGGACACGCAAACAUUAGGGAAAUACGUCGAGUGACACAUCUUUAUAGUAUCUAAUCUUUGGU